AGCUCAUGAUAAGGACAGCUUCUCAAGAGUUCUUUGAAUUUGUCCAAUGCCUCUUACAGUGUUUCAUCUUCCUUUUGAGAAAAAGUCAAGAUUUCUUGCCUCAACUU